CCCAGCAGAGGGAAUACAGAGGGCAAUCAGGACUGGGUCAUUCUCUCUGUCUUUCUCUCUCAG
ensembl:miRNA MIR6873 microRNA 6873